UGCGUAGGCGGUUUAGUAAGUCAGAUGUGAAAGCCCUGGGCUCAACCUGGGAACUGCAUUUGAAACUGCUGAACUAGAGUGUGGUAGAGGGAAGUGGAAUUCCGGGUGUAGCGGUGAAAUGCGUAGAUAUCCGGAGGAACACCAGUGGCGAAGGCGACUUCCUGGACCAACACUGACGCUGAGGUACGAAAGCGUGGGUAGCAAACA
rnacentral:rRNA from 1 species